UACGUAGGGAGCAAGCGUUGUCCGGAAUCAUUGGGCGUAAAGCGCGCGUAGGUGGCCUCGUAAGUCCGCUGUGAAAGUCAAAGGCUCAACCUUUGAAAGCCGGUGGAUACUGUGGGGCUAGAGUACGGAAGAGGCGAGUGGAAUUCCUGGUGUAGCGGUGGAAUGCGCAGAUAUCGGGAGGAACACCGGUGGCGAAGGCGGUUCUCUGGGCCUUACCUGACGCUGAGGAGCGAAAGCGUGGGGAGCGAACAGG
rnacentral:rRNA from 1 species